CACUGCACGUGUUAGAGUCCGAGUUCAGUUUGGAAAUGCUCCAUGUGUGCCUCCGUUUCUUCAUUCAGGAAAAUGAACGUCCAUCUCUGUUUCUGGCCUGAUCACAUAAAGACAAAAUGGUGGAGCCCGCAUAGGCCAACCUUUGGAUACCACAGUGGCUUCCAGGUCUGUGUUCUGUUUGAAAUGGAGAAAUCUAGGAAGCACUUCUUAGGAGGAGACGCCUGCAAGUGUUCUUACUCCUAUCGGGUUCCAUCAGUUAUUGAACGUCCACAGUGUGCGUUGCCAGGGAGAAGAGGAAGGACGACAGACACAUCGCCUGCUGCUGGGAAUCAAUGCGGGACUGGUUGACAGCUCAGGACCCAAUCAGAAUCACUUCUGUGGCUCACCCCAGGCUUGAUGGAGGCUGGCUAAUUACAGGGGACUCUGGUAAGUGAGUUGGUGGCCCUCGGGCCAGACCCCUCACCCUAUGGCGUGGUGGCCACUACCAGUGGUGGCCCUUCUCUGACUUUGUAUUUCACAGAGAUUCGUCGCCUCUAAGGACAGGGGAGACAUGGGGUGAGCAGGUCCGAGAAUUCUGAAUUCUGCCUCUCGGUUCAGUCAAGGAGUUAAACACGUUCCCAAUGUACCGUACAGAUCCUGGUGCAGAAAGCUAUUUUUCAGUUUCGCCGGAACCAAUUCGAUAACUCACACCAGAAGGAAACCUGUGUAAAAACCAAUCUCAGAUGUGGAGCAAAUGCUGGUGAGGGUGUCAACUGGUAGAAUCACCCUGGAAAACUAGUGGGUUUCCAUAACCAAAGCUGCACUUGGGAGCAGAUAGCUCCAUUCCCAGUUACGAUUGCAACAGUGUUGGUGGUAGGCAGACACUAAGAUGGGACCUUCUUCUAACCAGCAAAAUACAACAAUUAUGAUGGGAUAUGGCUUCUCUGAUUACGUUUCCUAAAACUGUAACUUCUAUCUUGCUAGCAUGUUCUCUCUAUCACCUUCUUGGCUUCCACGCUUUGAUGUUGGAGAGAGCCUUAUAUGGCACGGAACUAAAUGUGACCUUUGGCCAAUAGCCAGCUAGGCACUGAAGCCUUCAGUCCAAUAGUCUUCCAGAAAUUGAGUUAUGCCAACUGCAGUGGGAGCUUGGAAGUAAAUCCUUCCCCAGUUUGGACUUCAGAUGAGAUCCCAGCCCUUGCUGACACCUUGAUUCUGCUUUGUGAGGGACCCUGAAGCAGACGGUCUAGCUAAGCUAUGUUCAGACUCUUGAUUCACAGAAACUGAGAUAAUGUGUGUGGUUUGAAUUGUGUGGUAAUUGGUUCCACAGUAAUAGGUAACAAGUUCAGAGAUGCUUACAAAUGUGCACCCA
rnacentral:lncRNA from 1 species